CUUUACAGAUCUAGAAGCAUGACAUAACUGUGCCUACUGAAGACUUCCAGAGGCUUCAGUAAAAUCUUUUUAUGGCCACAUGUCAGUCCUGAGCCAACCUAUGCUAUGAAGGCUUCGAAAAGACUGAUAGAAGAGAUAUAGUUGUCACUGAGGGGAUGACCGCCGGGUCUUACUUUGGCAUAUGGAAGAAGCCAUCCAUUCAAGAGUCAAACCAGUUCAGCUGAAAGGGGAGCAUCACUCUAAUAUCUUCUGCCUAGCUUUCAACAGCGGCAAUACAAAAGUGUUCUCUGGAGGUAAGGAAGGAAGAGCA